rnacentral:rRNA from 1 species
UACGUAGGGUGCGAGCGUUAAUCGGAAUUACUGGGCGUAAAGCGUGCGCAGGCGGCUUUGCAAGACAGAUGUGAAAUCCCCGGGCUCAACCUGGGAACUGCAUUUGUGACUGCAAGGCUAGAGUACGGCAAAGGGGGAUGGAAUUCCGCGUGUAGCAGUGAAAUGCGUAGAUAUGCGGAGGAACACCAAUGGCGAAGGCAAUCCCCUGGGCCUGUACUGACGCUCAUGCACGAAAGCGUGGGGAGCAAACAGG